rnacentral:rRNA from 1 species
AACGAACGCUGGCGGCAUGCCUAACACAUGCAAGUCGAACGAGACCUUCGGGUCUAGUGGCGCACGGGUGCGUAACGCGUGGGAACCUGCCCUUAGGUUCGGAAUAACUCCCCGAAAGGGGUGCUAAUACCGGAUAAUGUCUUCGGACCAAAGAUUUAUCGCCUUUGGAUGGGCCCGCGUUGGAUUAGCUAGUUGGUAGGGUGAAAGCCUACCAAGGCGACGAUCCAUAGCUGGUCUGAGAGGAUGACCAGCCACACUGGGACUGAGACACGGCCCAGACUCCUACGGGAGGCAGCAGUGGGGAAUAUUGGACAAUGGGCGAAAGCCUGAUCAAGCAAUGCCGCGUGAGUGAUGAAGGCCUUAGGGUUGUAAAGCUCUUUUACCCGGGAUGAUAAUGACAGUACCGGGAGAAUAAGCUCCGGCUAACUCCGUG